GCCUGGUGCAGUGGUGCACGCCUGUAAUCCCAGCAGCUAGGGAGGCUGAGACAGGAGGAUUGAGAGUUCAAAGCCAGCCUCAGUAAAAGUGAGGCACUAAGCAACUCAGUGAGACCCUGUCUCUA
rnacentral:sRNA from 1 species